rnacentral:rRNA from 1 species
GACGGACGCUGGCGGCGUGCUUAACACAUGCAAGUCGAACGGGGUUAAGGAGCUUGCUUCUUAACUUAGUGGCGAACGGGUGAGUAACGCGUGAGGAACCUGCCUUUCAGUGGGGGACAACAGUUGGAAACGACUGCUAAUACCGCAUAAAACCGUAGUACCGCAUGGUACAUCGGUCAAAGAUUUAUUGCUGAAAGAUGGCCUCGCGUCUGAUUAGCUAGUUGGUGGGGUAACGGCCCACCAAGGCGACGAUCAGUAGCCGGACUGAGAGGUUGACCGGCCACAUGGCGACUGGGAUACGGCCCAGACUCCUACGGGAGGCAGCAGUGGGGAAUAUUGGGCAAUGGGCGAAAGCCUGACCCAGCAACGCCGCGUGAAGGAAGAAGGCCUUCGGGUUGUAAACUUCUUUUACCAGGGACGAACACAAUGACGGUACCUGGAGAAAAAGCAACGGCUAACUACGUGCCAGCCGCCGCGGUAAAAC